GGUAAUUUUUUCUUGUUUGCUACAAAAAGGCAUUUAAGAUCCCCAACUUUUCCACAAAAAACACUGGAGCAAAGUUCUUUAAGAUCCUGCAAAGCGCCAAGUUCUUUGGAGUAUGCAUGCACACUGUUUUUCUUUCCCAUGAAAAGUACUCCUGGUCAGGUGCUUCUGUGUUUAGUUGUGUCUCUGUCCUAGAAUGAGCUGAUGCUUCUGUGCCUCUGUGUAUAUCUAAUCUCCCUGCUUUUCUUUUCUAUAGAAGGUACUCAUGCUUCAAUGUUUUGCUGUGUAUGCUCUGUCCUCUCAAUCACCCGACCUGUCGUGGCAGAUGGUCGCUCAUACUGAAUUGAACUCUGCUGGAGGUUCCUGUUGAAAGGGAGUGCUCCCUCUCCAUGGUUGCUACAAGCUUUCUCAGAUUGCAGCAGUCAGGUACUCAAUGAAGUUAAAAGACGAAGAAGAAGAAUUGCAUUCAAUUCGCGGACUUUGGAGCCACAGCGUUGUAAUUUGGACCACUAAACGCCACUCUGAUUGGCUCAGGCAGCACGUGAUCACGACCCAACCAAUCAAGGGCGGCCUUGCUGAGCAGCCCGGCUGCAAAACAAAGGAAUAAAUAGAAGCUCGCUUCAUUUAAAACCUUCUGCUAUUCGGUGUUCAUGUCUGCUUGAGCUGAAGAAACUGGCCGCGCUCGAAUCACUGCAAUCCACUCAAAAGUUGAAGGUGUUUUCAUUCUGGAUGUGGAAUUUGGUAUCCUACCCAUAACCACCUUAAUAAGAUGACUUUGAGAAUGAGAGCAUGGCGAAAAGGCAAAAGGGACCUCGAUCUACAUCAUUAUUCUGACGGCGAGGAUGAUCAUCGAGACAUUGAAAAUAAUUGCCACAGUGUCCCUGGGAGUCAGAGUAGUAGUUGUAGCAGUAACAACGUGUCUGAGACCACACAUAGCUUUAUCAGUGACAGUGUUAUUGGACAGACACAGCGAUGACGCCACCAGGUCCAGAAAAAUACAGAUGCUGAUUACAAAAACGAUUAACCAGCUGGGUAGCCUGGUUAAUUAUUAUGGCUAUCGCUACAUUAGGUAGCAAUAGCCAUAAUAAUUAACAGCCGUUUUAUUUCAGUGUUCCAGAAAAAGGUGUUAAACUUGCUGAUGGAACUUGGCAAUCGGCAUAAAUGAGCACAACCCAUCUCUUCAGCCGUACACGUUGAGAGAAUGGUGACCAUCGAGGAUUUAGAGAGAGGAGGAAUGUGACCCAAAAGCCUUUGAUGCCUUGGUGCUGCAAAUUGCCAGAAUCGGAGGAAAGAACACAAAGAACUGUGUCCACAAAGUUCUUGAUAGGCUCUUCACCAAUUCAAUAUGAAGGGGAAACAAGGCAAGAGAUCUUUGGAGAAGACAAAGGUUUAUGGAGCAAUAAAAGAUGGAAUCAUGACUAGUGAUGAAGCAGCCACAGAAGACUUCAUAAGAAUACAUGCUGCAGAUCAUCUCAAACAUGUACUGCAAAGAAGUGGAGGACACAAAACCAUCACUCAGGACUGAUUAGGGCUGUGGAAUUUUAUAUUUUUAUUGGAUAUACUUUUUUGUUUGUAAAAACGGUGUUAAUAUGAAACUUAUUCAUCUGUGAGUCCAAUUAAAAAAAAGUU